CACAUCUCUCCUCUUGCCACCCACACCCUAAACCUAACCCGAUUCCGUCGCCGCCAAAGGCCCCACCCGUCUGCGCCGCGGCCCCCGACCUGCGCGCCGCCGCCCUUCCACUCGUCCCCUCGCGCCUCAUCAUCCCGACCCCGACCUCCCUCUAGCCCGCAGUGCACCAUCCUCCCAGUAGCAGCAAGCCGUCCGCCGCGACAGGAGCAGCAGCGGCACCGAGGAGAAGCAGCGCCGUCAACCAACACCGGAUAGAUGCAGAAGCACCGUCCACCGGCGAGGAGAAGUAGUACCGUCAGCCACCGAGGAUCCACCGUGGUUCUUCCUCCAUCGGCAAUGUCUUUUCCUGCUGAUCUUCUUUCCUCCGCCCAGCCUACAGAUUUCAAGAGGAUCAGGGGAGAUCUGGAUGCUGCGCACCGCACCCUGCUUGGAUCUGAUGGAGUGGGCGAGGUAGUGGUCGGGGCAUGGGAUGGCGCCUUCAUCGUCAGACUAUUGGGAUUCAGCAUAUUUCUGCAGUCUUCUUCAGAGAUCAGGAGGGUUCGAUUCAACACAACUCCGGGCUUGGGUUGCCGUCAAACAAAAUCAGCUCGACAGUAUUCCUCUUUCUUGCUUCUUAUUAGUCAAAGUCUGAACUCAAUUUCUGUAUUUUAGUUGGUACUUAAUUGAUUUGAUAGGCUAUAUCUACGUGUGAUGCAUCAACUAGGCUUUGUAAAUGGAUACAUAGUGUUUUCUGGUUAUUUUGUUCAAUAAUUAUGUGUUCCCAUUUCUCCUACUCAACAUGUUACAGAAUUUAGUGAUUAACAUUUAUCUACCGAAUUACAAUUCAGUCAAGCAUUACAAUCUUUAUGCCAAAACUAAACAAUAGAACAAAGUCUGCCUGGGAUUUGUAUUUCCAGCUAUGGCUUAAAAAAGCCAAUAGUAAGUUAUUUAUGUACUAAUUCCCCUAAUGAUAUUAGCAUAUGUUGUUUGAAUUUAACUAUUGAAGGGCACAUGAAUAGUACUAGCAUCUAGGAUUGAGGGAUUAAAAGUUUACAAAAAUUCAAAGAAAUUCUAUGUUGGUUUCAUCUCUUUGUUGUUCUGAAAUUGCUGCCCUUGUUGAAUUGUUCUCUAUCACAUCUAAAGCAAAAUUUUACAGUGAGCAUAUGUGAUGGACUAUAUUUUUAAUUAGGGCUCGAGUAUAAUGGACUGGGAAUCAUUCUCUUAAUGAUCUGGUACUCUUGAACUGGUGCAUGAAACGUGCUUUUGACAUAUAUAUUUCUCCCGAGGUUUGUGGGGAAUAAGAAAUUUAGAUAAACAUAUGAUAUCUACACAUAUAGUAUAUCUUAAAGUAUCAAAGUUAGUCUUUCACUAUCCCUUUGAACCUUCUUCCCAACCUUUGAGGCUGUACAUAGCACCCUGCAGAGAUAACUUUUUUAGAUGUGCAGAGCACUUCUUGAUGUUCAUACUUACCGGCUAGAUUUCACAUGUAACAACUAUGUGGUAGAAUAAAUUUUUGCGAACGCAAGAAAAAAUUGCAUUCUACUGGAUUUUCUGUUAUAGUUUUCAUGUUGUUUUUUUCCUGUUGAGGGGGACUAUUCAAAUAUAUUGACGGUCUAAAAAAACCUAUGUAUACAUAAACAUCAAACAAUUAUGCAGAAAGUGGACCUUUUAAGUUCAGGAAAACCGCUUGAUGUCAUUUCACUCGGUAAAUGUCAGUCUGGUUUAGUGUUCUCUAAAUCUAUUUGACCCCAGCUACAUGGUCCAGUAGCAAUAACAACCACAUCAUGGCCAAUUCAGAAAUACCUUUAGUGAUACGUUGGAGUACAACCACAUGGUUAGAGUUUCCAAGUUAUAUCACUCCUUUCUUUUAUUAAUACUUAUUUGGUGAAGUUCUUGGCUGCAAUAUUACAAAGUUCUUGUGAAUGUUGUAUUGAAAAGAGAGGUGGAGCUUGCUUGUGGAUAUGAUGGAAUGCAAACAAUGGACGAUGCUCACCACAUGUCCAUUGCAUGGCCAUCAAAUAGGGUAAAAAUAUAUUUUAUACAUUUUCCUGUUCUAGCGUAAACUAUCACCUGAUGCAAACUAAUUGUUAUUUUUGGAGAUCAAACCUUGCACAAAGUCACGGUUGUCGUCAUCGCAGAGUUCAGGUAUUAUUCCUGUCAACAUCACCAUGUUCUAUCUGACACUUGGAACUGAGAGCAAGUAGUAUACCACUACCAGUACCUCUAGUAGUGUGGAUCAACAUGUUUUUGCAAUUCUGUUGUCGAAAGUAUUUUAUUUUCAUUCAUGUAGUAUUGUGGAUCGGCAUGUUUUGUCUAGUUUAUAUUACAUCUGUUUGUGACCUGGUACAUCUAUUUCAGACCUGGUUGUGUCCUGGUGCAAUCUUCAAUGCUUGUUUUUCUAUUUCUCAUUCCUCGUUCUGUAACUAAAAGUUCUAUCAUAUGCACUAGUUCAAUCCCAUUAAAGCUCCACUAAUGCACUAAAAUUUAUCAUUCCUGCUAUUGAUUCCCAGAAUUUACUGGCCUUAUCUCUCCACCUGAAUCUUUGCUUGAUUGUUCCUCCUAUACUGGAUCAUAUUUACUGGCCUUAUCUCUCCACAUGAAUCUUUGGCUCCCCUGCUAUUUGGAUGUUGAAGAAUUAACAAGUACCGAUGGUUUCCUUAGGUAGGAAACAACAUUUUGUACUAUAUCAUCUCUUUUGGACUGAAAACAGUUUUGUACAUAACUUUUAGCAGCAGUCACCAUAUUAUUUUUUAUCAUCUCUUUUGCACUGAAAUAAAUAAAUUUUUGUACAGUAUAUAACUAGCCAUGAGGAUGGUGAUUGUUGUUGUACAGGAAACGACAUCACAUAAUAAAAAUAUUCUUUGAGUUCUCAGGGUUGGGGUUGUGUGUCAGAUUGAUAUAUUAUGGAAACCCCGCUCCCGAGUAGGCCUAGUACAAGAAUCAGUAAAACUUAUGGUUAAGCAAAAUGGUUUGCACAUCACUAACUUCGUAUAGAUCCACAAGAAAACACUAACAUUCCUGAGCAUAGGUUCGGAUGCAAUAUGGUCCAGAAAAUCAGGUCUCUUCCAUCCUGCCCUCAUUUUGUUGCAUGUCCUUCUCAUUUUCUAAAAUUGCUCAAAGAUACAAGUUCUUUUGCAGGGACAAAUGGGAGAAAGUAGCAUCUACUGAAGUUGAUCUAGGAUGUUCUGUUGUUCAUAUGGAAGUUGAUGUCGGCAUGAUCAAAGACCAGGCCAUGACCUGAAUGUCGACUUGUGUUUUUCCUUAAUGGCUGGAGCAAACUUGAGUGAAGAAAACUAGUGAAUCUUCUAUAUAUGUUGAAUGAAUGCAUUGGAUGUUAUCUUGGAGAGUGCAAUUGGAAUAUUCUAUAUAUGUUGAAUGAAUGCAUUGUAUGUUAUUGCAUGUUAUCUCGUGAUAAAUGGAAGAGUGCAAUUGUAUUGGUACUGAAAUGAUUUGAAUAAUAUGAUUUUGAUUGUAUUGCGUACUGGCA